GAUGAAGAACGUAGCGAAAUGCGAUAAGUAAUGUGAAUUGCAGAAUUCAGUGAAUCAUCGAAUCUUUGAACGCACCUUGCGCCCUUUGGCCAUUCCGAAGGGCAUGCCUGUUUGAGUAUCAUGAACACCUCAACUCUCAUGGCUUGCCAUGAUGAGCUUGGACUUUGGGGGUCUUGCUGGCCUGCGGCCAGCUCCUCUCAAAUGAAUUAGCUUUCCAGUGUUUGGUUGGCAUCACAGGUGUGAUAACUAUCUACGCUUGUGGUUUCCACCAGGUAACCUUCAGUAACAUGGGGGUUUGCUGGAGCUCAUAAAUGUCUCGCCUCAGUGGGGACAGCUCUUUGAACGUUUGAUCUCAAAUCAGGUAGGACUACCCGCUGAACUUAAGCAUAUCAAUAAGCGGAGGA
rnacentral:misc_RNA from 1 species